GAGAAGGUGGCUCAGUGGUAGAGAGCUUGCCUUGAAUGUAUGAGGCCCUGGGUUCAAUUCCUAGGCAUCACG
rfam:Dipodomys ordii contig_4986, whole genome shotgun sequence.